GGCGGAUUUUAAUUGGGAAGCACGAGCAGCUGAGCCAUAGCAGGAGUUGGAAAAUAGAUACAGAUGCACCUAUAUUUCUCUCAAGAAAAAUUCUCUUUAUUCCAGCAGCAGCCAUUCUGGUGUCAGUCACUACUAGGAGCCCCUACACAUAUGAACGUCCAAAGACUGCAGAGGUCUUGGAACCUAUUACACGUAGAAUUGAACCACCAAGGUCAACGAUAG
rnacentral:lncRNA from 1 species